UGCCUCCUGUGAUAACUGUGCUGGGCUCUGAAUCCCUUACCAUAAACAUGGUGCCCCUCAGGCUUUGAUUCCUGGGGGUCUGAGGGAUCC
rnacentral:snoRNA from 1 species